rnacentral:tRNA from 1 species
GGGUUUAGCUCAGUGGUAGAGCGCCACCUUGCCAAGGUGGAUGUCGAGGGUUCGAAUCCCUUAACCC